CUUCCACAGAGGGCAGAAGAAGGCCCUUCAUUCUCGGAGCUCCCUGGGGAGCCUUUGUGCCUAUGUGGAGCCCGGGGCUGAGACUGGGCUGUAUUCUCUGCCUAACUCAGCAGGAGGCUUUGGCGUUCUUGGGGAACCUGGUGGGAACCCAUGAGACAGAUGGCCAAAGGCUGUGCGCACCAGAACAAGAGCCUUCCAUGUGCCUCCAGAUCUUAAGAAAGCUCAUGGAGUGCUUGGUCCGCCUGUGCAGUGGAGGUGGCACUGACCGGCCUCAGAGCUGUUGCUGGGUUUUGUCUGUGAGACACGGUGACCACAAUGGAAGAGCUGAUUCCGUCAACUCUUGGUCCCCAAGUCACCAGGAUUCUUUAUGGUACAAGUCGUGGGAACCAUGAUCGAAGGGUCCCACAUGGGACAAAUUGAGGUUUCUAAAUGGUCCCCACUAGGGCCUGCACCGCCAUUAACCACCCUUAGGGACUUUAGCAGACACGUUCAAGUUGAUCAAAGCACCCCUUAGCCCGGUUUUCAAGCUCUUUGUACAAUCUGCCUCCAACCGGUCCUCUGUGGCUCACCCUCCCCCCUCCCUGGAACCACUUACCCCUCCUAAAGCUGCCACAUAGGCUUGCCAACCCUGGCCACCUCCACGCUGCUCUUUGCAGAUGCAUUCCUUGCUUGUAUGGUCAUCUCACACUCAAAUCUUCAAGACCUAGCUAGAGACACCUCCACCGAGAACCUCCUCCUCCAGGAAUUAUCCAGUCUUUCUUCCAUGUUUCCAGGUUCCAAUUCUGUCAGUUCUGCUACAUCUUGCAAUAAACGCAUCUCUGUUCCUGACCAGCUCAGUCCUGAACUACUUGUCAUCUGUGUAACCUCUGGCAGCUUGCUGCUCACUGAGCCUGUUCCUCACCUGUGAGGCUUCCAGUACCUCGCUUAAAUGAAAUAAUACAGGUAAGGCACAGAGGACACGCUUGCCAUCUCUGGAUGUAUCACAGUGGAACUUGGUGAACAUGGAGAGCUGAAUGAAAGCUCCCUGUGUCAAAAAUAAGGCUCAUGAGCAUUUAUUAAGCCUUUUCCAUGUAUCAGGAAGGGACUGAGAUGAGAGCUUAUAAUAUCAUCUCAGCCGAGCCUCAGUAACCACUUAUGGGAGAAACUGCCAUCAUCUCCACCUUACAGAUGAGGAAACUGAGGCUUUGGCUGCUGAGGACCCUGAUCAAAGAUGCCCAGCUUGUAAGAGCUGGAACUCACAGCGAUACACAUGGAACCAGUCCAUCACUCAGGGCGGGACUGAGCGGGAGAAGUCAUCUAUGUUUUAUACUCAUGGUUUGACAGUUGGACACUCUUGGUGAUGAUUCUGUCCAGGGCUUCUUAAAUUGAUAAGGAGAAUCAUAGAUGCCACAUGAGACAAAUAAAUGUCCCUCUGAGUCCAGUGGCUUCCAAGCCCUCUGUCUUUGACCAGCGCUUCCUCCCACGCCCUAAGUCUGGAACCACCCAGCUUGUCCUCUCUUGACACCUCUGUUGGCUUAUUUUGAGGUGACUUCAUACUCCAGAGGGCCCCAUGGCCACUGAGAGUACUCUUGUCCCCAUUCAGGACAGGAUGAGAAGCUGACAGUUGGGGUCACCCCCACCCCUGAGAUGCUCAGGAGAGGGCAGCGGGGCCAGGGGAGCAUUUCAGACGGGCGGGGGGGCUUCUAAUAAUGACAGAGAUAACAGCAGCAACAAAGGCGAACAUUUAUUGGACACCUACUAUGUGCCAGGCACUGCCCUAACCACUCAACACACACGAACCCUUCUUAGCCUCAUAAUUCUUCGAGGUAGGUUCUGUUAUUAACCUCAUUUGACAGAUGAGGAAACUGAGGCCCAGAGAAGUGAGACGACUUGUCCAAGGCCAGGUCAGUGCCAGAGGCCCCAGCAUUCAGCAGCCAUGUGUCCCCGGACAGGUCACAACCACUUCUCUGGGGUUUCUUCCCCAUCUGGCACCUGCAGGACCCCACCUCAUGGUUUCUAUGACGACUAAGACGGUCUCCGUACAGCGUCCCAGCACACAGUGGGUGCUCAGUAAAUGGUCAGCCCUCCUUUCCUCUUAACUUAGAUGCAGGAAACCUGGGUGGGGGCCUCUCAGCGCGUCCUCCCUCCAGCACUGCCCUCCAAGCCAGGUCACCACUUCCACGCCCUCGCUAACCGCAGAGUCACUCAGCGCACUUCUGCCUUCCUUUCAAUGACAUGGUCAUAAUUCUGCUCCUCUGAGCCCGGAAGCUGCACCCUAACAAGCGCCCCUCGGGUCCCGCCGCCCGGGGAGGGUGGGGAGGUCGAGGAAGGGGCCAGAGUGGGGAGAUGCAUGGUCCCGUGGGAGGCUAGGAGGCCUGGGCCUCGUCGUCCACGCGGUGGCCGGCGUAGAGCGCAGCCAGGGGCCGGAAGCGCGGGCCCCAGCUGCUGAGAUAGGCGAAGUCCUGCUCGGAGCCCGUCGAGCCGCUGUGCAGCGAGCUGAGCGAGGCGGCCGGCGAGUCCGCGCCCUCGAAGGCGUAGGUCUGGAAGGCGUCGUAGGGCGGCACCGAGAGGUCCCCGUCCGCCAGCGCCACCUUGCGGCUGAUGAAGUCCCUGAACACCGAGAAGUCCGGCUCGGGGCUCGGCGGCCCCUGAGGGAGCGAGUGGCGCUCCGAGGCCAGGCGGGCCUGCGGGGGGCUGCUGGCGCCCCCGCCCGCGCCCCCGCCGCCGCCCGCGUCGCCGCCCUUGAGCUCCCCGAAGUCGUAGAGGCUGCGCAGCGCCGACAUGUCGUACGCCUCCGUGUCCUGCUCGCCGCCGCCCUCGUCGUUGUACUUGAUGACGUUGUCCCGCAUGUCCUCGUCCUCAUCCGAGCUCAGGUGGCUCUUGUGGUGGCGCCGGAGGCUCAGUGAUGAGAACCCCAACUUUUCAGUUACUCAGGACUUUCAAAGGUCAUUUGUCCACUGAUGAACCCCAGUGCCUAGAAUAGUCCAGCACACAGGCAGGACUCACUGACCAGUAUGACUGGAUGGCCCCGGAGCUGUCACAGCCGCAGAUGCGGAUGCCCAGAAGUCCUAUGGUCUUGGGUCAUAUUUUGUUGGGCCCUGAGAAGUCAUCAGAGAGGACUGUGGAAUCUGGCUGGCACCUGUCUUUGGCUGAGGGACCUUUGUGUCCUUCAUGCCAGUCAAGAGUCCUGGAGUUAUCUCGGGAGUCUCCCAGUCACAGGCCGGAGGGGCUGGUGAGCUACAACAAAUGGUGUUCACUGCCGGGCUCUUGCUUGCUGAUGGGGAAGCCAGACAGGGAGGAAGCAGUGUUGGAGCAUGAGACCCCCUUCCUGUGCCUCGCCUGCCUCCAGACACCUGCCCUGUACCAGCUGGGCCACCUGACCCCUGGUCACUGACGGCUCCUCUCAGUUCUGUGGAGUGCGGAGAGGGAAACUGAGGCCCGGGGGUGAGUAGCUGAGAAGAAACCAGCGUCCUAGGAUGAGCCCAUUCCUUCUCCAGCAUGGGGAAGCUCCUGCCUCAACAGUCCCCAGCCGAUUCAGCACUCCAGAUGUGGACUUCCUCAUCAUGGACAACGCAGAGAAAGAGCCCCUGUGGGGACUGACUUGUGACCUUGGGCACAGCCAGGAAGGAUUUUCCCAUGAGGCAACAGGGCCAUGAGACUUAUUACCCUGUCCGCUUCUGUACCGAUUCGAACAUUUCCAUACAGAUGUUAAAGUAA